UACGUAGGGACCAAGCGUUGUUCGGAUUUACUGGGCGUAAAGGGCGCGUAGGCGGCUUGUCAAGUCACUUGUGAAAUCUCUGGGCUUAACCCAGAACGGCCAAGUGAAACUGACAUGCUAGAGUGCAGAAGGGGCAAUCGGAAUUCUUGGUGUAGCGGUGAAAUGCGUAGAGAUCGGGAGGAACAUCAGUUGCGAAGGCGGCUCUCUGGACCAGCACUGACACUGAGGCACGAAAGCGUGGGGAGCAAACAGG
rnacentral:rRNA from 1 species